ACCUGAGGCAGGGGUGAUUUCUGAGGCACCUGAGGCACCUGAAAGGGAGUUAGUUCCUGAGGUACCUCAGGGUCCUGAGGCACCUGAGGCAGGGGUGGUUCCUCAGGGUCCUGAAGCACCUGAGGCACAGGCAGUUCCUGAGGUACCUGAGGCACAGGCGGUUCCUGAGGUACCUGAGGCACAGGCGGUUCCUGAAGCACCUGAGGCACAGGCAGUUCCUGAGGCAGAUGUAAGAUUAACUGGGUCCUAAUAUUGGAUGGCACAUUGUACAUCUCUACCACAUAAAGGAAUGGUCAGUGGCCUUGAAACAAUGUGAGAUCGUAAGGAGACAACGCAGAGGAUCUCUGGGCUCAUGGAAAAGUCCAGGUCUUUGGAGAUCCCUGGGUCCAACCUCCUGUUAAAAGCAGGGCAACAGACCAGGUGAACCAGAGCCCAUAAAGCCAAGUCUGGAAUACUUCCAGUGAGGAAAGAAGUUUCCACUGUUUUCUGGAUCAUCCAGCUGCCUUGAUAUUUGGGUGAAAGAAAAGGCAAGAUGAACAGACCAACAGCUACUGACCAAAGCCCAAAAAAUCCAACAUGAAGGGAAAAUAAAAUUCAAGAGGAAUUUUACACCAGUGAGUGAAUUUGUGGAUCAGUCAACUUGACAAAGUUAAAACAAGAUUAUUUGGAACACAAUUUAGGGCAUUAAUCCACACAGAAUAAAUUUGUUAUAUACAGACUUCACAAUGCAUUGCUCCAAAUGUAUUUCAGUUUAGUAAUUUCUAUGUUGUUUGGGCUUGCCAGUGUUUUUGUUAAUUUAAUUUUGUUGUUGGGUAGUUUUUGCAGGUUGUGGGGUUGUUUUUAAAAAUUUUUUGGUUGUUUUGGUUUUAAUCUUUAAUCCCAUUGUUACCCUUUUAGAAACAUUUCAGCAACCAGACUAAUUGCUUCCAUUGUGCAUAAAACAUGGGCUCUUUCCUACAAGUUUUAUUACAGAAUAAAAAGAUGCCCUGUCUCCAGUGGAACUUGCAAUCCAAGUAUGGACAUUUCAGCUGAGGAGGGGUUCAGCCCAGAUGUCCCACUACAGACACAGCUGGUGAGGUGCUGUUCAGCUACACCCUCUUUUUCUGUGACCAUCUGAACUUUCUAAGGGCAUGCUGCAAAAUUUACUGGUAAUGCCUAGCCCUGGAAAACCACCAAAUCCACAAGUAUCAAACUUUUAGUUUUUCACUGCUCAUAUUUUUUUUUUUUUAAUCUGUCUCACAAAAUCAGUA